rnacentral:rRNA from 1 species
UACGUAGGGUGCAAGCGUUGUCCGGAAUUAUUGGGCGUAAAGAGCUCGUAGGCGGUUUGUUGCGUCGGCUGUGAAAUCCCGAGGCUCAACCUCGGGUCUGCAGUCGAUACGAGCAAACUAGAGUGUUGCAGGGGAGACUGGAAUUCCUGGUGUAGCGGUGAAAUGCGCAGAUAUCGAGGAGGAACACCCGGUGGCGAAAGGCGAGUCCCUGGACAACUCCUGACA